rnacentral:rRNA from 1 species
AUUGAACGCUGGCGGCAGGCCUAACACAUGCAAGUCGAGCGCGAAAGUCUUCGGAUGAGUAAAGCGGCGAACGGGUGAGUAAUGCAUGGGAAUCUGCCUGGUAGUGGGGGACAACGUCUCGAAAGGGACGCUAAUACCGCAUACGCCUACGGGGAAAGGGGGGAAGUCUUCGGACCUCUCGCUAUCAGAUGAGCCCAUGUCAGAUUAGCUAGUUGGUGAGGUAAAGGCUCACCAAGGCGACGAUCUGUAACUGGUCUGAGAGGAUGAUCAGUCACACUGGAACUGAGACACGGUCCAGACUCCUACGGGAGGCAGCAGUGGGAAUAUUGGACAAUGGGGGCGAACCCUGAUCCAGCAUGCCGCGUGUGUGAAGAAGGCCCCAGGGUUGUAAAGCACUUUC